GGGAGGGUAACUGACCGUGGGAAGGAAGCGUGGAGCAUAAAUCAUGAGCCGAUGAACAAGAACUGCAUAGAAGGCG
rnacentral:autocatalytically_spliced_intron from 2 species